rnacentral:rRNA from 1 species
UGUAAGUAGUUUUUAUAAACGAAGUGUGAAACUUUUGCAUAAAAUUCUAGAUAAAAUAAUGAUAAUGACAGUUUUUUAUCUAUAUGUCUUGACUAAAUCUUGUGCCAGCAGUCGCGGUAAGACAAGGAAGGCUAGUGUUAUUCAUCUUUAUUAGGUUUAAAGGGUACCUAGACAGUUUAUAUUGCCUGAUAUAGGGACGUAUAAUACUAGAGUAAGAUAUGAGAGGAAGAUGUAAGAACUGUUGGAGUAGAGAUAAAAUAUUUUGAUACUAAUGGGACUGCCCACGGCGAAG